CAAAGCAGCAUUGUUGUAAAAAUGGAGUCGAUGCUUGUCAUCAUACGCCUAGCAUUGUGCUUAUUGGCACUUUUUCAACUCUCCUCUGGCUCUGGAAUCAACGUGUGGCCAAAACCAAGGACCUUCUCAUGGCCCAACCCUCAGGCCACGCUGCUCUCACCUGCCUUCGCUAUUGCUGCUCCAAACCACACCUUCCUCUCCUCCGCCGUCGAACGCUACCUCCGCCUUGUCCACACCGAGCACCAUUUUCCCCUUGUCAACCCCUCCGUCAACCUCACCCCCUCCAAUCUUCCUCCUCUCCGCACCCUUUCCAUCGUCGUCUCCGACCUCAAAGCCCCGCUCCAACAUGGAGUGGAUGAGUCCUACAGCCUCUCCAUUCCCACUUCGGGGCCAGCUAAACUUACGGCGAAUACCGCGUGGGGUGCCAUGAGGGGCCUCGAGACGUUCUCGCAGCUCGUCUGGGGCUAUCCCUCUGUGGUGGCGGUGGGCGUGUACGUUUGGGAUGCUCCGCUCUUUGGGCACCGAGGAAUUAUGCUGGAUACGUCUAGGAACUAUUACCCAGUGAAGGAUAUAUUGAGGACGAUCGGGGCGAUGAGUGCCAACAAGCUCAACGUGUUCCAUUGGCACAUCACGGAUUCCCAUUCGUUCCCGCUGGUGGUGCCGUCGGAACCUGAUCUGGCGGCCAAGGGGUCUUAUGGCCCUGAUAUGCAGUACUCCCCCAAUGAUAUAAAGACGAUUGUGCAGUUUGGUUUGGAGCACGGCGUUAGAGUUCUCCCGGAGAUCGAUUCCCCCGGCCAUACGGGAUCGUGGGCGGAAGCUUACCCAGAGAUUGUGGCAUGUGCAAACAUGUUCUGGUGGCCUGCAGGAAGCGAGUGGGCAGACCGGCUGGCCUCUGAACCAGGAACCGGCCAUUUGAACCCCUUGAACCCCAAGACGUACCAAGUCUUGAAAAACGUCAUCCAUGACGUGGCCGCGUUAUUCCCAGAGCCAUUCUUCCACGCCGGAGCGGAUGAGAUCAUUCCUGGUUGUUGGAAAGCCGAUCCAGCCAUCAAUUUCUUCCUCUCAAAUGGUGGAACUCUCAGUCAGCUCCUGGAGAUCUUUGUCAACUCAACUCUCCCUUAUAUUCUAUCCCUUAACCGAACUGUGGUUUAUUGGGAGGAUGUUCUGCUUGAUGACAAUGUCAAGGUCCCAACAACAGUUCUUCCAAGAGAGCAUACAAUUUUACAAACUUGGAAUAAUGGCCCUAGCAAUACCAAGCGGAUUGUUUCUUCUGGGUACAAGACCAUUGUGUCCUCUUCAGACUUCUAUUAUCUGGAUUGUGGGCAUGGUGAGUUUCUGGGGAAUGACAGCCAAUAUAUAGCCGGUGCUAAGUCUAAAGAUGGUGGCUCAUGGUGUGGACCUUUCAAGACAUGGCAGACCAUAUAUAACUAUGAUAUAACGUAUGGGUUGAGCAAGGAGGAGGCCAAACUUGUGUUAGGUGGGGAGGUGGCACUGUGGUCCGAGCAAGCAGAUCGUACGGUUUUAGAUGCAAGGAUUUGGCCUAGAGCUUCAGCAAUGGCAGAGACACUCUGGUCUGGUAACCGGGAUGAGAUGGGUAUGAGGAGUUAUGCAGGGGCAACAGAUAGGUUGAACGAGUGGAGGUAUAGAAUGGUGCAAAGAGGUGUCAAAGCUGAACCGCUUCAGCCACUUUGGUGCGUUAGGAACCCAGGAAUGUGCAACACAGUUCAAGGCUUCUAGCUGGCUAUUUCUUUCUUGUAUGUUAAAAAUGUCAACGACCUUGCAUCUAUUUCUUGGUCAAGAUAGAUGAAAAAAAAAAACCCAAAUCUUGUAAUCGAUUUAUUUCUUCAGUUUCUUCAAUUUACAAUGGACAACAAGCUCCAAUUUGUGGCAUUCAAAAGUGUUGGUGGUGUUAAUUGACAAUGGGAUAGAUUGAGGUCAGACUAACCGAUGGGGCUUCUCUUUAUUCAUUUUGUCGAUCAUUGUUGAGGAAUGGUUUUCCAGAAGAAGUCAGGUUUCCAUUAUUUAGGAUGGGGGUUUCCCUUUCUAUGCAUUUUGAAUUCUGCCAUUUCUUCUGUGUUUUAUUUUUUUUCUCUACAUGACAUAUUUGCGACAAAGCUUCAGGGGAUGUAUAUCAGUCAAUAUGGACCAACU